rnacentral:rRNA from 1 species
UGGGGAAUUUUGCGCAAUGGGGGAAACCCUGACGCAGCAACGCCGCGUGAGUGAUGAAGGCCCUUGGGUCGUAAAGCUCUGACAGAGGGAAAGAAAUGUGGGUGGCUAAUAUCCAUUCCACUUGACGGUACCCUCAAAGGAAGCACCGGCUAACUCCGUGCCAGCAGCCGCGGUAAUACGGAGGGUGCGAGCGUUGUUCGGAUUUAUUGGGCGUAAAGCGCGUGUAGGCGGUUUUAUAAGUCUGAUGUGAAAGCCCCGGGCUCAACCUGGGAAGUGCAUUGGAUACUGUAAGACUUGAAUACGGGAGAGGGCAGUGGAAUUCCUGGUGUAGGAGUGAAAUCCGUAGAUAUCAGGAGGAACACCGGUGGCGAAGGCGGCUGCCUGGACCGAUAUUGACGCUGAGACGCGAAAGCGUGGGUAGCAAACAGG